rnacentral:rRNA from 1 species
UGGAUCCAGACUUUGAUCCUGGCUCAGAACGAACGCUGGCGGCAUGGAUUAGGCAUGCAAGUCGAACGGUGCAGCAAUGCACAGUGGCGCAAGGGUGAGGAACGCGUGAGUAACCUGCCCUUAAGUUGGGAAUAGCUCCUGGAAACGGGAAUUAAUACCGAAUGUGAUCGUCGGGAGACAUCCCUUGAUGAUUAAAGGCCGCAAGGUCGCUUAAGGAGGGGCUCGCGUCCCAUUAGCUAGUUGGUGAGGUAACGGCCCACCAAGGCGAAGAUGGGUAGCUGGUCUGAGAGGACGAUCAGCCACACUGGGACUGAGAUACUGCCCAGACUCCUACGGGAGGCUGCAGUCGAGAAUUUUGGGCAAUGGGGGCAACCCUGACCCAGCAAUGCCGCGUGCGGGAUGAAGGUCUUCGGAUUGUAAACCGCUGUCUAGAGGGACGAAUACAAUUGACGGUACCUCUGGAGGAAGUCACGGCUAACUACGUGCCAGCAGCCGCGGUAAUACGUAGGUGACAAGCGUUGUUCGGAUUCAUUGGGCGUAAAGGGUCCGCAGGUGGUUUGAUAAGUCUGACGUGAAAUACCGGAGCUCAACUCCGGAACUGCGUUGGAGACUGUUGAACUGGAGUAUCGGAGAGGAAAUUGGAAUUCCAGGUGUAGCGGUGGAAUGCGUAGAUAUCUGGAAGAACAUCGGCAGCGAAGGCAGAUUUCUGGACGAUAACUGACACUCAGGGACGAAAGCAUGGGGAGCAAACAGGAUUAGAUACCCUGGUAGUCCAUGCCCUAAACGUUGUAAACUUGAUAUGGGGAGAUUUACUCCUUUCCGUGUCGAAGCUAACGCGAUAAGUUUACCGCCUGGGAACUACGGCCGCAAGGCUACAACUCAAAGGAAUUGACGGA